GUGCCAGCAGCCGCGGUAAGACGAACCGUGCAAACGUUAUUCGGAAUCACUGGGCAUAAAGGGCGCGUAGGCGGCUCCAAAAGUCAGGGGUGAAAUCCGGCAGCUUAACUGUCGCAGUGCCUUUGAUACUGUGGAGCUAGAGGGAGGUAGGGGUCUGUGGAACUUCCGGUGGAGCGGUGAAAUGCGUUGAUAUCGGAAGGAACGCCGGUGGCGAAAGCGACGGACUGGAUCUCUUCUGACGCUGAGGCGCGAAAGCCAGGGGAGCAAACGGGAUUAGAUACCCCAGUAGUCC
rnacentral:rRNA from 1 species